UGAGCAAUCUGCCCUUCUCUUUGGAAUAAGCGUUGGAAACGACGUCUAAUGCCGAAUACGACCUCCUUUCGCAUGAUCGGAGGUGGAAAGCUCCGGCGGAGAAGGAUGAGCUCGCGGCCUAUCAGCUAGUUGGUGUGGGUAAUGGCCCACCAAGGCGACGACGGGUAGCCGGCCUGAGAGGGUGACCGGCCACACUGGGACUGAGACACGGCCCGGACUCCGUACGGGAGGCAGCAGG
rnacentral:rRNA from 1 species